AUAUCAAUAAGCGGAGGAAAAGAAACUAACAAGGAUUCCCCUAGUAACUGCGAGUGAAGCGGGAAAAGCUCAAAUUUAAAAUCUGUCAGUCUUUGACUGUCCGAGUUGUAAUCUAGAGAAGUGUUAUCCGCGCUGGACCGUGUACAAGUCUCCUGGAAUGGAGCAUCAUGGAGGGUGAGAAUCCCGUCUUUGACAUGGACUGCCAGGGCUUUGUGAUGCGCUCUCAAAGAGUCGAGUUGUUUGGGAAUGCAGCUCAAAAUGGGUGGUAAAUUCCAUCUAAAGCUAAAUAUUGGCGAGAGACCGAUAGCGAACAAGUACCGUGAGGGAAAGAUGAAAAGAACUUUGGAAAGAGAGUUAAACAGUACGUGAAAUUGCUGAAAGGGAAACGCUUGAAGUCAGUCGCGUUGUCCAGGGAUCAACCUUGCUUUUGCUUGGUGUACUUUCUGGUUGACGGGUCAGCAUCAAUUUUGACUAUUGGAAAAAGAUUAGGGGAAUGUGGCAUCUUCGGAUGUGUUAUAGCCCUUGGUUGCAUACAAUGGUUGGGAUUGAGGAACUCAGCACGCCGCAAGGCCGGGKUUUAACCACGUACGUGCUUAGGAUGCUGGCAUAAUGGCUUUAAUCGACCCGUCUUGAAACACGGACCAAGGAGUCUAACAUGCCUGCGAGUGUUUGGGUGGAAAACUCGAGCGCGCAAUGAAAGUGAAAGUUGAGAUCCCUGUCGUGGGGAGCAUCGACGCCCGGACCAGACCUUUUGUGACGGAUCCGCGGUAGAGCAUGUAUGUUGGGACCCGAAAGAUGGUGAACUAUGCCUGAAUAGGGUGAAGCCAGAGGAAACUCUGGUGGAGGCUCGUAGCGAUUCUGACGUGCAAAUCGAUCGUCAAAUUUGGGUAUAGGGGCGAAAGACUAAUCGAACCAUCUAGUAGCUGGUCUGC
rnacentral:rRNA from 1 species